GUGAAGCGGCAACAGCUCAAAUUUGAAAUCUGGUCCUUUCAGGGCCCGAGUUGUAAUUUGGAGAGGAUGCUUCGGCUGCGGCCCUGGUCUAAGUUCCUUGGAACAGGACGUCACAGAGGGUGAGAACCCCGUACGUGGCUGGGUGCCUACGCCAUGUGAAGCUCCUUCGACGAGUCGAGUUGUUUGGGAAUGCAGCUCUAAACGGGAGGUAGAUUUCUUCUAAAGCUAAAUACCGGCGAGAGACCGAUAGCGCACAAGUAGAGUGAUCGAAAGAUGAAAAGCACUUUGGAAAGAGAGUUAAAAAGUACGUGAAAUUGUUGAAAGGGAAGCGCUUGCAACCAGACUUGGACGUAGUUGCUUAGCCGGGCUUCUGCCCGGUGCACUCUUCUGCGUCCAGGCCAGCAUCAGUUCAAGCGGCCGGAUAAAGGCCUUGGGAAUGUAGCUCCUCUCGGGGAGUGUUAAAGCCCUCGGUGCAAUGCGGCCUGCCUGGACUGAGGUCCGCGCUUCGGCUAGGAUGCUGGCGUAAUGGUUGUAAGCGGCCCGUCUUGAAACACGGACCAAGGAGUAUAACAUCUAUGCGAGUGUUUGGGUGGAAAACCCAUGCGCGUAAUGAAAGUGAACGGAGGUGGGAGCCCUAGGGCGCACCAUCGACCGAUCCUGAUGUCUUCGGAUGGAUUUGAGUAAGAGCAUAGCCGUUAUGACCCGAAAGAUGGUGAACUAUUCCUGAAUAGGGUGAAGCCAGAGGAAACUCUGGUGGAAGCUCGCAGCGGUU
rnacentral:rRNA from 1 species